AUUGAACGCUGGCGGCAGGCCUAACACAUGCAAGUCGAGCGGAGUGGCGGACGGGUGAGUAAUGCCUAGGAAUCUGCCUGGUCUUGGGGGAUAACGUCCGGAAACGGGCGCUAAUACCGCAUACUAUCAGAUGAGCCUAGGGCGUAUUAGCUAGUUGGUUGGGUAAAGUCCUACCAAGGCGACGAUCCGUAACUGGUAUGAGAGGAUGAUCAGUCACACUGGAACGGAUAAACGGUACAGACUCCUACGAGAGGCAGCAGUGGGGAAUAUUGGAGAAUGGGCGAAAGCCUGAUGCAGCCAUGCCGCGUGUGUGAAGAAGGCCUUCGGGUUGUAAAGCACUUUCAGCGGGGAGGCGUUACCCGCAGAAGAAGCACCGGCUAACUCCGUGCCAGCAGCCGCGGUAAUAC
rnacentral:rRNA from 1 species